CUGUGACUUGGAUGAGCAUCUCAAAGCCCAUGGGCCGUAUAUUCAUGGGGAUAACGUUACUGCUGUUGAUAUAAGCUUGGCACCUAAACUGUACCAUCUUCCACCA